AUUGUGGCCAACUACGAUGGCUUGCGGUUCGGUUUGUGAGACUGUUUGGCUUAUAAAGUUGGCUAAAUCGAAAAUCUAUCUUAUCCGUAGCGUCACAAUGUGUAAAUUUAGCCGACAUUUGGCGUAUGAACUGAAGAGACAUUUUU